rnacentral:rRNA from 1 species
UACGGGGGGGGCAAGCGUUGCUCGGAAUUACUGGGCGUAAAGGGCUCGUAGGCGGCCAACUAAGUCGGAUGUGAAUCCCCAGGCUUAACCUGGGAACUGCAUCCGAUACUGGAUGGCUUGAAUCCGGGAGAGGGAUGCAGAAUUCCAGGUGUAGCGGUGAAUGCGCAGAUAUCAGGAGGAACACCGGUGGCGAAGGCGGGUCUCUGGGCCGUAACUGACGCUGAGGAGCGAAAGCAUGGGGGAGCGAACAGGG